AUUCGCUACUCAUUUGAGGCCAACACCCCCAACUUCUCAUGAAGCAGGAUUAUUUUUUAAAGGAUGUAUUUAUUAAAUGACAGAAAGGAAGACCAGAGCACUCUGGUGAUCAUAAGCAAAGCCCACCCCUGACAGCGGAGCCCCCUCUGUUGCUGGCUGGAAGCAGGACUUGUGAAUUCUGCCAACAGCUGCCCAGUGAGAGGUUCUGUGAAGUGCAGCCACCCACCAGUCAGGACUAGGGCUGGGUACCGCCUGGUGCAGACCGCAGGGAAGCUGCAACAAAGCCGGGGCGGAGCCCUCCCUUUGUGGGAAGAGGAGCCAGGAAUGGGGCCGGCCAGGGAGCUGAGUCUGGAAGGAUGGAGAGGACUCCGCCUCAGAAGAGAAAGGCGGUGCAGACAACGGGAUGGAUGGAAGGCGUUAGGAAGGAACACUCCAGAAAGUUCAUCCGGAGAGUCGCUGGUGUGAGGCCAGCCACCAGGUUCCAGAUGCUACUGUGAUGCCAGCUGGACUUCCCUGGGAAGACGACCUCACCAAUGUGUCUUAGAGCCCCACCUCCCCAGAGCCCUUCUCCACUAGGGAAAGCGAGAGACAGGCUGGGAGUAUGGAUUGACCUGCCAAUGCCCACGUUCAGCAAGGAAGCAAUUACAGAAGCCAGACCUUCCACCUUCUGCACCCCAUAAUGACCCUGGGUCCAUACUCCCAGAGGGAUAAAGAAUAGGGAGGCUAUCAAUGGAGGGGAUGGGAUAUGGAGUUCUGGUGGUGGGAACUGUGUGAAAUUGUACCCCUUUUAUCCUAUGGUCUUGUCAGUAUUUCCAUUUUAUAAAUAAAAAUUUAAAAAAAAAGAAAGGAAAAAUCCAAACAUUGUAAAAGAAUGUAAAGUUAGAAAAGUAAAUCCCUUAUAAUCUCAGUCCACAGAUAACAUGAGAACCAGCAGCACAUGUCCCCUCCACCCCACAGCUGCUCUAGCCUU